rnacentral:tRNA from 1 species
GGGUGAAUAGCUCAGCGGUAGAGCGCUUCCCUUACAAGGAAGAUGUCGGGGGUUCGAUCCCCUCUUCACCCA